CACGUAGGGUGCGAGCGUUGUCCGGAAUUAUUGGGCGUAAAGAGCUCGUAGGCGGUGUGUCGCGUCGGCCGUGAAAACUUGCAGCUUAACUGUGGGCGUGCGGUCGAUACGGGCAUCACUGGAGUUCGGCAGGGGAGACUGGAAUUCCUGGUGUAGCGGUGAAAUGCGCAGAUAUCAGGAGGAACACCGGUGGCGAAGGCGGGUCUCUGGGCAUUAACUGACGCUGAGGAGCGAAAGCAUGGGGAGCGAACAGG
rnacentral:rRNA from 1 species